rnacentral:rRNA from 1 species
GGGGAAUAUUGGACAAUGGGCGAAAGCCUGAUCCAGCAAUGCCGCGUGAGUGAUGAAGGCCUUAGGGUUGUAAAGCUCUUUCGCACGCGACGAUGAUGACGGUAGCGUGAGAAGAAGCCCCGGCUAACUUCGUGCCAGCAGCCGCGGUAAUACGAAGGGGGCUAGCGUUGUUCGGAAUUACUGGGCGUAAAGGGCGCGUAGGCGGCUCUUCAAGUUAGGCGUGAAAGCCCCGGGCUCAACCUGGGAAUUGCGCUUAAUACUGUAGAGCUUGAGUUCGGGAGAGGUGAGUGGAAUUCCCAGUGUAGAGGUGAAAUUCGUAGAUAUUGGGAAGAACACCAGUGGCGAAGGCGGCUCACUGGACCGACACUGACGCUGAGGCGCGAAAGCGUGGGGAGCAAACAGGA